CCUACGGGUGGCAGCAGUGAGGAAUAUUGGUCAAUGGGCGCGAGCCUGAACCAGCCAAGUCGCGUGAGGGAAGACGGUCCUAUGGAUUGUAAACCUCUUUUGUCGGGGAGCAAAAGACGCCACGCGUGGCGUUCCGAGAGUACCCUAAGAACAAGCAUCGGCUAACUCCGUGCCAGCAGCCGCGGUAAUACGGGGGAUGCGAGCGUUAUCCGGGUUUAUUGGGUUAAGAGGGUGCGCAGGCGGAAGAUCAAGUCAGCGGUAAAAUUGAGAGGCUCAACCUCUUCGAGCCGUUGAAACUGGUGUUCUUGAGUGAGCGAGAAGUAUGCGGAAUGCGUGGUGUAGCGGUGAAAUGCAUAGAUAUCACGCAGAACUCCGAUUGCGAAGGCAGCAUACCGGCGCGCAACUGACGCUCAUGCACGAAAGUGUGGGUAUCGAACAGGAUUAGAUACCCUGGUAGUC
rnacentral:rRNA from 1 species